rnacentral:lncRNA from 1 species
UGUCAUUUGGUUUAAUUUGAUUGGCUGGGGCGUGGCAGAGACUACCAUAGGCAUGUCAUUUGGUUUAAUUUGAUUGGCUGGGGCGUGGCAGAGACUACCAUAGGCAUGUCAUUUGGUUUAAUUUGAUUGGCUGGGGAGUGGCAGAGACUACCAUAGGCAUGUCAUUUGGUUUAAUUUUAUUGGCUGGGGAGUGGCAGAGACUACCAUAGAAUUAAAAUGCCUAGAUUGGUCAUGCCUAUGGAAACUAGCCUGUUAAGACCUGAUGGCUCUAUAGUGCAUUGCCUGUUAGACUAGGGCAGUGUCCCGAACGAUCGACCACCUCGGUGAUCUCAGCAGCUGUUUGAAUGGUCCCCCUAAUUCAACUCCCCUAAAUACACCGAACAAAAAUAUAAAACACAAAAUGUAAAGUGUUGGUCCCAUGUUUCAUGAGCUGAAAUAAAAGAUCCCAGAAAUGUUCCAUACGCAUAAAAAGCUGAUUUCUCUAAAAUGUUGUGCACAAAUUCGUUUACAUCCCUGUUAGUGAGCAUUACUCCUUUGCCAAAAUAAUCCAUCCACCUGACAGGUGUGGCACAUCAAGAAGAAAAACAAACAUCAUGAUCAUUACACAGGUGCACCUUGUGCUGGGGAUAAUAAAAGACCACUUAAAUGUGAAGUUUUGUCACGCAACACAAUGCCACAGAUGUCUGAUGUUUUGAGGGAGUGCGCAAUUGCCAUGCUGACUACAGGAAUGUCCACCAGAGCUGUUUACAGAUAAUUAAAUGUUAAUAUCUCUACCAUAAGCCUCCUCCAACGUCGUUUUAGAGAAUUUGGCAGUACAUCCAACCGGCCUCACAACCGCAGAGACCACAAGUUACCACGCCAACCCAGGACCUCCACUUCCGGCUUCUUCAUCUGAUGGAUCGUCUGGGGGAGGGCUGAGGAGUAUACUCAUUCUGAUUGGCUGGGCCUGGCAGCCAAGCAGUUGGGCCUUUGCCCACCAAGGCCCACCCAUGGCUGCAACCUGCCCAGUCAUGUGACAUCCAUAGAUUAUGGCCUAAUUCAUUUAUUUCAAUUGACUGGAUUUCCUUUUUUAUGAACUAUAACUCAGUGUUGCGUUUAUAUGUUUGUUCAGUAUAUUGGGGUUAAUCACAUAACGUGAGAGAAUGAGAAAUGGUUAAAUAUUAUAAUAGCUCAUCUGUACUGUGGUAGAUACUUUAUCCGUGGACUAUUAUACUGUGAAUUUGUUUCUGUCAACGGCUAGCUAGUCGUCCGCCCACAGCUGUAACAAUACACUAACCCAAUCGUUCCUGAGACCAGGGGUUAGGGGAAGAGAACCCAUGCUGUCUAUUCAACAAAUAUCUAGAACCAUCCAUCCAGGUAGGUAGUAUAUACUAAACACCUGUCUAGAACCAUCCAUCCAGGUAGGUAGUAUACACUAACACACUGAACACCUGUCUAGAACCAUCCAUCCAUCCAUCCAGGUAGGUAGUAUACACUAACACACUGAACACCUGUCUAGAACCAUCCAUCCAGGUAGGUAGUAUACACUAACACACUGAACACCUGUCUAGAACCAUCCAUCCAGGUAGGUAGGUAGUAUACACUAACACACUGAACACCUGUCUAGAACCAUCCAUCCAUCCAGGUAGGUAGUAUACACUAACACACUGAACACCU